GUGUAGCUCAGUAGUAGAGCACUAGCCUAGCAUGCCUGAGGCUCUGGGCUCCAUCCCCAGCAC
rnacentral:tRNA from 1 species